CUCAGGAUGAACGCUAGCGGCAGGCUUAAUACAUGCAAGUCGUGGGGCAGCAUGAGUAGCAAUACUUGAUGGCGACCGGCAAACGGGUGAGGAACACGUACACAACCUUCCUUCAAGCGGGGAAUAGCCCAGAGAAAUUUGGAUUAAUACCCCAUAAUAUAUUUGAUAAGGCAUCUUAUUAAUAUUAAAGCUUCGGCACUUGAUGAUGGGUGUGCGGCUGAUUAGAUAGUUGGCGGGGUAACGGCCCACCAAGUCUACGAUCAGUAGCUGAUGUGAGAGCAUGAUCAGCCACACGGGCACUGAGACACGGGCCCGACUCCUACGGGAGGCAGCAGUAAGGAAUAUUGGACAAUGGACGAAAGUCUGAUCCAGCCAUGCCGCGUGAAGGAUUAAGGUCCUCUGGAUUGUAAACUUCUUUUAUAUGGGACGAAAAAGGGCAUUCUUGUUCACUUGACGGUACCAUAUGAAUAAGCACCGGCUAACUCCGUG
rnacentral:rRNA from 1 species